UUUCCUACGGGGCGCAGCAGUAGGGAAUAUUGCGCAAUGGGCGAAAGCCUGACGCAGCGACGCCGUGUGAGGGAUGAAGGUCUUCGGAUCGUAAAACCCUGUUGUUAGAGAAGAAAGUGCGUGAGAGUAACUGUUCACGUUUCGACGGUAUCUAACCAGAAAGCCACGGCUAACUACGUGCCAGCAGCCGCGGUAAUACGUAGGUGGCAAGCGUUAUCCGGAUUUAUUGGGCGUAAAGGGAACGCAGGCGGUCUUUUAAGUCUGAUGUGAAAGCCUUCGGCUUAACCGGAGUAGUGCAUUGGAAA
rnacentral:rRNA from 1 species